GACGAACGCUGGCGGCGUGCCUAAUACAUGCAAGUCGUGCGGACCUUUUAAAAGCUUGCUUUUAAAAGGUUAACGGCGGACGGGUGAGUAACACGUGGGCAACCUGCCUGUAAGACUGGGAUAACGCCGGGAAACCGGGGCUAAUACCAGAUCGUUUUUUCCUCCGCAUGGAGGAAAAAGGAAAGGCGGCUUCGGCUGCCACUUACAGAUGGGCCCGCGGCGCAUUAGCUAGUUGGCGGGGUAACGGCCCACCAAGGCAACGAUGCGUAGCCGACCUGAGAGGGUGAUCGGCCACAUUGGGACUGAGACACGGCCCAAACUCCUACGGGAGGCAGCAGUAGGGAAUCUUCCGCAAUGGACGAAAGUCUGACGGAGCAACGCCGCGUGAGUGAAGAAGGCCUUCGGGUCGUAAAACUCUGUUGCCGGGGAAGAACAAGUGCCGUUCGAACAGGGCGGCGCCUUGACGGUACCCGGCCAGAAAGCCACGGCUAACUACGUG
rnacentral:rRNA from 1 species